rnacentral:misc_RNA from 1 species
GAUGAGAACGUAGCGAAAUGCGAAAAGUAAUGUGAAUUGCAGAAUUCAGUGAACCAUCGAAUCUUUGAACGCACAUUGCGCCCGCUGGAACUCCGGCGGGCACGCCUGUCCGAGCGUCAUUUCAACCCUCAGGCCCCCCUUCGCGGGCGGGCCUGGUGUUGGGGCCCGGCCGCUACCCUGCGGCCGUCCCCUAAAUCCAGUGGCGGCCUCGCCGUGAUCCCUUGCGUAGUAAUGCACCUCGCACCGGAGAGCGCCGUGGCCACGCCGUAAAACCCCCAAUUUUCAAUGGUUGACCUCGGAUCAGGUGGGAAUACCCGCUGAACUUAAGCAUAUCAAUAAGCGGAGGA